GGGGCAGGCCAGGCGGUGAACAGGAGGGAGUCUGAAAGUUUUCAGAGAUGAGACAUUUGCGUUUCUCAGCUCCCAUGGCUUCUCGCCUGAAACUGUUUCCCUCCAUAGGAGAUUUGAGAAACCGAUCCCUUGACAAACAACUUAAGACAGCUGGAGCUCUAAUCAUCAAGGAUUUUUAUGGUGCUGCUUUUGAAGUAAAAAUAAAGUGAAACCCCUUAUGGCAUUUCAAGUGGAAAAAUAAAUAAUGCUGGCCGUCCGCACAGGGGGCUCCGGGCGAUGGCUGGAAGCGCGAGAGUGGUGCGCGGUUCUGUGCCGUCGAUGUUCACGUGCUUCCCGUGGCAGUGACCUUUGAGACAAAGCCGGUGGCUUGUCAGGACCCUAUGCUGGGUGUCCACCUCUCCACCUCUUCUAGAAAACGUAACAGGAACAUUGCCUUGUUCAAGGCCCAGGGCUGUUGUGAGGGUUUAUUGAGAUAACAGUCUGUAAGAGCUUUGGUCACUUCAUAGAAGCUUAUCUGUUUUAGCUCGGUUGCUAAUUUAUUGCUCUCGGUUUUAUGUCGUUUUCUCUCGCCCUUUCAGUCUCCGCGUUGUCAGUUUAUCCCUUUUUUCACUCCUACCCUUGCCUCUCAAUGCUUUCCCUUUCCUUGGUCAAAACUUGCUAAAGAUCUGUUCAUUUUAAAGGUAUUUUCAGAGAACCAAACCUCUAUUGAUUACAUCUGCUGGAUAUGUUUCCUGUCUGGUGCUUUCUUGUUUUUAUCCUGCAUUUUUUUUCUUUUUUUCUGGGUUUCUGGAUAUAUUUUGUGGUUCAGCAAAGUCUUGACAAACUGAGGAGUCCUUACACAUGGAAACAAUGGUUUGCUCGGCAAACACUGAGCCCCUGCACUGGGCCUGCUGGGGAUUUCAGGGGCAAGACACAGGCCUGACUCUCCAGGCACACAUGAUUCUAGCCUAGUGGGAAGACUUAAGAAAAUAGACAACCGCAAAUUCCAAAAACAAAACAAACAAACAAAAAAGGUUUUUGUGGCCACGCUGUCCUGUGGAGGCACCUGGAUGAUAAAUGAAGCCAAGAUUAUUGCUUAUUUUGUUCUCCCCCAGAAAGCAGCUUUCUGUCGUAGGUCAAGCUCGCUAAGGAGUCACAAACAGGCCUCCCUCUGAAAGAUUUGUGACCCUUUCCAGCAGGGAGCCCACAGCCCACCCCCUCCCAAGGUGACUGCCAGAUCAGCAUUCUGCCUGCCCAACACUGCUUUUCUCCUCCCCAGGGCAGCACUGGCUGCACUCUGCCCCCUCUUCCUAAAUCACCUUUCAGGAAAAUGAGAAGUAGGUACGUCUUCUGGAAAAGAGCGGGACACUAAGCCUUAGCAAACCACAUCCUGCAAUUCUGCCGAUCGCUGUGGCUCCUAGUGUGAUGUGGUUGCUCAUGUGGUACCUGGUAACCACAAGAUCCCGUGAGGCCUGGGUCUGCAGCCUGCUCUGGGCCUCAGUUUCCUUACAGGUAAAACGUGGUCCUUGGAGCAAACGUAGUCUUCCUACCCUUACUAUACUGGGACUCCUUUCUCCUAGGAUCUUCAGGUCCUCCUUGAUGCACUUGAGGAAGGUGACUGAGCACUGGGGAGGUGGCAGUGCCCUGGCAGGACAGCCUGCACAUGCUUUAUGCUUUAGUCAUUGUACCCCAGAUAGGCCUCUGUCAGGAAGCCUUCCCAGAUUUCUUCCUUCUCCCUGAAGAUCCACUUGCCUAGAUCACUGCACUCCACCCUCUAUUGAGUGCUAGCGCUAGUGCAGAUUUCCUCUUCUGCUGUGACUGGGCUACCCCUCACCUCCCUAGGGGGCCUGCAUUGUCAUUUAAAUCAAAGGUACUUGUCAGAAUCCUGCUCAGGAUUGGGGCGACACGAUGGACAGGGUGGACAGUCUCUGACAUCCAAGCUCAUGGGAAAAGGGAUGAGAUUGGGCAGAUAAUCCCACAGAUACACAGGACUCUGGGCUGUGGCACAUGGCCUAAAGGAGUCUAGGAGGGGAGCUGGUGUGGGCCAGGGAGGAUUGAUGUUCAGGCUGAGACCUGAGGACAAGUAUAACUGUGUGAGCAGUGAAAUAGUAAAUGGGAUGUUAUUUCUCACCAUCUACUCAAGCAUCUCUCUGCUUACAGCUAAAGAGACUGGGCUGAAAGUAAAAUGAAGGACCACCAGUAUCUGGUGAUAGUGAGGGGAUCUAAGGUUGGCAUCUUGGUGGCAGGCCACCAAACUCAGUCCAGAGUGAGAAAUCUUCAGUUUCCAGCUGACUGGAACCAUUGCAAACAAGAGCCUGAUGGGACUAAGGAGUGACACAAUCCAAAGAGCGCUUAAUUUAAGGUGGGAUAUUUUCAGUUCGGAACAGGAGCAUUUGAGCAGAGAAAGAGCAUGGCUGUCGAGAAGGUCAUCGCCCUGCCUAGGUCAUCAGCAUGGAGAAGCGUAAAUCCAAGGAGCCGUGGUGGCUGAGGAGGAGAAGGCAGGAGAAAGGCUGGGGAGGGAGGACAGAGAAAGGGGAGACACGGCCAGCCAACUCCCCUUGAAUAGCUGCAGGAAGUCAGGGCGGGGAAGGGUCACUCCUUGUGUUCAUUUGGCUGCCCCAGUGGGAACCCAGUCUCCUGGCAUCUAGUGUGGAGCUCACCCCUCAUCCCCAAUGCCCUCACUCCCCAAUACUGGGUGAAAGGGUCUGGACCUCACCCAGAACUAAGAAGUGCCCUCCUCCACACACGAGGGAAGGGAUCCUGACUGAAAGCUGGGAGGGGGGCAGAGUUGGGUCUGCCAGGCUUCCAGGAGGGCAUUGCAUUUCCUGAGGCAAACUUUGAUACUCGAGCGGCUCAAGGGGAGGAGGUGGCUGAGCAGCAGCUGAAGAAGUGUCUCCCUUUGGGGUGUCAGGACUCGGUGGUGGGAGUGGACUUCAGGAACAGUUUAGGAUCCACAAACCUUGAGAGGCAAGGUUUCAGGGAACCUUAGCCCUGUGCUCCCACCUUUGUGAUCACACCUUCCCGAGCCUCAGUUUCCUCACCGGUAAAAUGGAAAUCAUAACACCCACUGGAGCCUGGCUUAAGGCCAAGUUUUCUCAAAUGUUCAUCUUCUUUUCUGUGCCCACCUUAAUGGGCUCAGGCCUCUUAGGGGCCAUCUGAUCAUCCAGCUCUCCCACUCAUUCCUGUGAGGCGCCUUGGCCGGGCCCUGUGCCAAGCCCCAAGAACUUGAUGCAGGAUAAGACCAUGCCCUCCUUGUGUAGCUCCUCGGGGCAGGAGGGAAGGCAGCGAGGCAGUCCUGCAGGCAGGUAAUUACGGGGCUAUGUUGUCAGGGCUUCACUGAGUUAGGGAGCAUCAUUUGGGAGGCCAUAUGUCAGCACCUCAGCAUGAAUUCCCUUAAUUAUUUCUUACAAGCCCUGAAAUGACAAUUCCCUAAAAAGGAGAGGAACACUAAGAUGUAGCUCUUUCCUGAGGGGCCAGGGUCCUGGCUUUGCUUCCCUGCUUGGCCACCAGCUUGCCCAGAACCACCCAUGGAUCUUUCACCAUCAGAGAGAAGGCACUGCCUGUUCAAGCCACCGCCUUGUGUAGAGCCAGUGUGGGCAUGGGUUUGAGAGUGCUUGGUCAGACUCGGGUGAACAUGAACCUUCUCCAAAGACUAAGCCUCUGGGUGGUUCUGGCCUCUCACCUCUUUUCCUGGCAGCUUGUGGAGAGUCUACCCUUGGACACCUCACCACUUCUUCCAAAGCUAAACUGCCAAUCCCCGCCACACACUGGUAGUGACCGCCCUCUAGGGCUGAUCUCCACCCACUUCCCAUGUGACCUUGCUCUCUGCUCGCUCUUCUCCGGGCCCCUUUCCCCAUCUAUAUACCAAGGAGGGGCUGGACCAAGCAGUCUUUAACAUUUUCAAAGCCAUCUUCUGUGAAAUAUCAGUGAACUUUAUCCUUGUUACUUCAAUCUCAGAGAUGUUGGUUGAAACAGAGUGUGUGAAGCAAGCAUUUAAUUAAAGGAUUUUUUUGUAUGAAAGAAUAGACAUUACAUCUCUUGGGUGCAGAAAUGUUAAGACUCUUAGCUUAAGAGUCAAAGCGGUCUUGGAAGGGUCUCUGGAGGAGAAAGACAAACUCAGCCCUUCAGUGCUUCCCUGUGGCCCUAACUCCUUAGAUUGGCCAUCGAGGACCUGCACAGUCCUUGAGCGUGGGGGCUUGAUCUUUGUCCCUGGACCAGGCACAGUUUCUGCCCAACCAGGCCUGGCAUAGAAGCUACUGGUUGGCUGACCAGGGGGGUGGAUGUAAGGAUGGGUGGCUCAAUCAGUCAAUCUCAAGACUCCCUAAGGAAUUACGUGGCCCAGUCUUUCCUAGAAGUAAGGGAAUUCACUUGGCCUCUCAAGUCUCCUCUUGACAACUCUGAAAUGACAAUAUUUUCCAGCCUCCAGACCAAUAUUUUACACACAGAUAUCACAGACACUAAUAUGUCACAAAAGAUAUAUGAGAAGAACCUCCUAAGAGGCACUUCAGGCAAGCAUCCUAACCGUGGCAACAGGUGGCUAUGAGACACCGCCCCUCACUGGCCCUCAGUUUCCCCAUUCGUAAAAUGAGGCAGUUGGACUAGAUAAUCCUUGAGUUCCUUUCUAGCUCUAGCAUCGCCCUCAGAUGUCCUGGUACCUACAGCAGUAACGGGACAGGGGGCAUGAUGACUCCGGGAUCUGGGUCAAGUCCAUGUCUUGGAGCUUGAAAGAGUCGUGAUGAUGGUUGUGGCCCCCUGGAAGAUGAACAUGGCAGGAACUGGCCGAGAGAUUUUUCUGCUGAUGGUGAAACGUCCUGGCAAUUUAUACAGUCCCAAGCCACAGAGCAUCACCCCGUGUCAUGGAGGAGGCAACAGAAAACAGAGAGGUGCCUUGCUGACAUAGAGCACGAAUGGCAGGAGCUGGAUUCAGACCUCAGUCCAUCCAGGAUCACAGUCCUUCCCAGGACCAAGUUGAGCUGCGAGGAAGAGGAUGAGAGAUCUGUGAGAUGCAGGUGGAGACGCUCCAUGGCACGUGCGGGAGGCUGGCGGUGCGGUCCGAGGUCCGACCGGAGAGCAGACCGGAUAUUAAAGCGUCACAUCAGACUGCAGUGACAACGUCUGCAGUGCCAGCACUAGAGCAGGUAGCGCUCUUAAGAAACCUCCCCACCACAGGAGUGAUGUGUACAUUCUGUAUUUACAUCGAAGACUUUGGUAUUUUUAAAAACUGUUUUCUUUAGCAUAUAUAUCUGAAAUAUAACAUGUAUCUGAAAUAUAUGAUGUGACACAGAGAUCUAAUUUGAUCAUUUUCCAAAUGGAUAACCAGUUUGCGAAGCACCGUGUAUUGUCCCAACACCAUCUUUUCUCCCCGUUCACUCUGUUCAGGUCUCUUGGUCUAUUUGUCUACUUCCGGGCCAAUACCAGAUUGUAAUGAGCAAAAAGCUUUAUCUUACUUUCCAGUAAGACAUGGUGUGUACCCGCUGGAGGUGUUGCUCUCAGUUUAGUACGCCCUACGGGACUCCUGGUGUAGCCCUGGUGUAGCCGACGUGCCCUGCCACAGUGUUCCUUGCAGCUGGCGACUGGCGGCUGUAGCUGCUUUUGCACCAUGUUUGAUUUCCCUGUUUCCUAUUGAUUGACUAUUAAAAUGUUUCCAGUGUCAUUCCAUUAAGACAAACCUGUAAGAGCUUCCUAAAAUUGCCCUUUUUGCAUGUGUUCAAGUAUUUCUUUGGGACAGAUAUCCAGUUUGUGGGUCAUAGGGUAUACCUAGCUUUAAUUCUAAUAGAAACUUCUAAAAUGUUCUCCAAAUUCCCUUCUGAUGAAUCACCUGCCAGCAGUGUGUGAGAGCAUCCAUUUCCCCAGACCACAUCCAAGUUUUCCAUUCUUAACCAGUCUGAUGAGUGAAAAAUAGUAUGUUGCUUCAUUUCACAUUUUUCUGAAUUGCUUACACAAUUGAAGUCUUCAUGUGUUUACUGUCCAUUUUUAUGUCCUCCUUUGGAUUGCUUGUGCAUAUCCUUUGCCUGUUUCUUUUCUUUUUUUUUUUUUUAAGGUGUUUUUUUGUCUUUUUGUUAUUGAUUUUUAGGAUUUCUUUAUGUAUUUGACUAUAAAUACUUUGUCGUGUAUAUUAAUGUUUUCUACACUGUGAUUUGUGUCAUUUAAUUGGGGGGGUUGUCUUAGAGAAAUUUUAAUUUUGAUACAAAUUUGUCAAUCUCACUUUUAUGCUAUUUUUAUAGUCUUAUUUUAAAAAGUCUUUUCUAGAUCAAGAUCAUAAGAUCUAAAAUUUAUAGUUUCUGUAUAAAUACAUAUUUAAGCCUUUAUACUAUAUACAAAGAACAAAUUUCAAAUGCCUGAAUCUUAGGAACUAACUUUAAUCCCUCUCUGUUUCCCACAAAUGGGUAGGUAAUUGUCCCAAUACCACUUAUGGAAUAAUAUAUCAUUUCUCCACUGAUUUAAAAUCGCUGCUUCUGCCUGACACUAAAUUCCAAUGUGGGUCUAUGUCAGAGCUCUUUCUGGUCCACUGAUCUAUUUGUCUACUCCUGAGCUGGAUAAUAUGCUUUGCUAACUGCCGGGACAAAUCCCACCCUCUUUGUUGUUUUUGUAAAAUUGCCUUGGUCAUGCUUGCAUAUUUGUCCCACCACAUGAAUUUUAAAAUAGCCAGUCAACUUUCAAGAAAAAUUCUGCUAGGAUUUUAAUUGGGGUCACAUUGAGUUUAUGGAUAAGUUUGAGGAAAAUUGGCCCCUUUAUCAUGUUUGCAUCUGCCAACCAGUGCUCUUUGCUUGUAUCUCUCAGUUGCGGUCAUCUUUCACGUCUUUCAGGGAAGGUGUGUGGUUUUCUCUCGUUAAAAGUCUUGCAUAUUUCUUGAUAAAUUUAUUCCUCGUUUUAUUACAGGUUUUGUUGCCAGUUGUGAAUAGGAUCUCCUCUCCCCUUAUGUUUGGCCCUUGUUUUUCCAUCCUUCGUUUCAACCUGUUCACUGAUCAGCUUGACGUGCAGACACACACGCAAAGUAAACGUUCUUCCUCCCUGGGCUCACGCACGUGAGCACAGCCAAACACUCAGAGCCGGCAUAAUUGGCUGAAAACAAAUUAGAAUCUUUUCAGAUUAUACUUUAAUUAAACAAGUAAAGCAUGAAUACAUUUUCCUUUUAAAAGGAGAGCAGUAUGAAAUUAAAGUUUCCUUUGGUCACUUGAGGUCCUGGUUCCUCAACCCUCCGCAGAGGUGGCCGCUGUUCAGAGUUUGAUGUAUUAAGAGUUCCUGCUGUGGUGCAGUAAGUUAACAAUCUGACUGCAGUGGCUCAGGUCACUUUGGAGACUCAGGUUCAAUCUCUCGUCCAGGAAUUUCCAUAUGCCACAGGUGCAGCCAUAAAAAAAAAAAAAAGAAUUUGAUAUAUUGCCUUCCAUAGUAAAUAUAUAGAUAGUAUGGAUGGAAGUAUUUUGAAUAAAUGUCACCAUGUCAUAGGUAUUAUACUAUAUCCUGCAUUUUUUCACUUAAUCUUUGCUUUUGAGUUACACUCAUGUUAGCGAUAUAGCAGCUCUUGUUCAUGCUUUUUAGCAGCUAUAUAGGGUAGUACUUCUUCACCUGACUGUACCGAGAUUCCCCUUCUCUAACAUCCAUAGUCUGAGGGGUUCCUCCCCUUAACCCCUUGUAAUGAAGAAUGCUGCCAGGGACAUCUUGGCACCUGUUCUGGAAAUGUUUCUAUAGGGUUGGCACUGAGAGUGGAACUCUGGCCCCUGUGGUGUCCACCGUUCCAGUUUUAGUAGUCGAAGUCCAAGUUGGCUUCUGAAGUUGCUGUGCAAUUUAAGCUCCUUUCACAAGGAACUGUAAAUCUUCCUUUUUCCAAACCAUUGCCAGCUUUUAAAGUUUAUGGAUCUGAUGAAUGAAAAAAGUGGUUUCUUGAUUUGUUUGUGUUUUCCCGGUCACGUUGUGGUCUCCUCCUGGGUCUCCUGGCCAUUUAUAUUUCCUCCCAUUGGAAUCAUCCAUGCAUCUCCUUUGUCCCCCUCUCUUCUGUGUUGUCUUUUUCUUUUUGACUUAUAGGAUUUAUUUAUGUAUUUUUUAUAUGAAUUCCCUGUCUACUCUAUGCAUUGCAUGUAAUCUACCAUUCUGACCCUUGUCAUUUGACUGUAUUAUCUUUUUAUUACAGAGCUCUUAAUUUUUAUGUCAAAUUUAGAAUUAUCUUGCCAUAAGAAGGUCCUCCUUAUGUUAAGAUCACAACCAUUUUUCCUGUAUUUUUCCUGAAGCUUUCAUAAUUUUCUUUCUUGCAUAUGUAUUUUACGUUAUUUUACUAUUCUCACAUUUAAGUCUUUACUGCAUAUGAAGCUAAUUUUAAGUGUGUUAUGGAUGCUUAAUUUUAGUAAACUUCAAAAUUGAUAACCAAUAUUUUCAGUACCAUUUAUUGGGUAAUCUGUCCUUUCUCCAGUAAUUUAAAAUCGCUGCUUCUGCCUGACACUAAAUUCCAAUGUGGGUCUAUGUCAGAGCUCUUUCUGGUCCACUGAUCUAUUUGUCUACUCCUGAGCUGGAUAAUAUGCUUUGCUAACUGCCGGGACAAAUCCCACCCUCUUUGUUGUUUUUGUAAAAUUGCCUUGGUCAUCCUUGCAUAUUUGUCCCACCACAUGAAUUUUAAAAUAGCCAGUCAACUUUCAAGAAAAAUUCUGCUAGGAUUUUAAUUGGGGUCACAUUGAGUUUAUGGAUAAGUUUGAGGAAAAUUGGCCCCUUUAUCAUGUUUGCAUCUGCCAACCAGUGCUCUUUGCUGUAUCUCUCAGUUGCGGUCAUCUUUCACGUCUUUCAGGGAAGGUGUGUGGUUUUCUCUCGUUAAAAGUCUUGCAUAUUUCUUGAUAAAUUUAUUCCUCGUUUUAUUACAGGUUUUGUUGCCAGUUGUGAAUAGGAUCUCCUCUCCCCUUAUUUGUUUAUUUGACCCUUGGGGUUUUUGCUUGUUUUGUUUUUUAAGUUUCAUUGAAGUAUAGUUGAUUCACAAUGUUGUGAUAAAAUUUCUGCAGUACGACAGAGUGAUUCAGUUAUACAUAUACACACAUCCAUUCUUUUUCAGAUUCUUUUCUCCUAUAGAUUAUCACCAAAUAUCGUGCCCUUUGUUUUUCCAUCCUUCGUUUCAACCUGUUCACUGAUCAGCUUGACGUGCAGACACACACGCAAAGUAAAUGUUCUUCCUCCCUGGGCUCACGCACGUGAGCACAGCCAGACACUCAGAGCCGGCAUAAUUGGCUGAAAACAAAUUAGAAUCUUUUCAGAUUAUACUUUAAUUAAACAAGUAAAGCAUGAAUACAUUUUCCUUUUAAAAGUAGAACAAUAUGAAUGUAACUAAAGUUUCCUUUGGCUAUCCUCUGAAGUUCUAGCUCGCCUUCCCUCCCCACAGUUUUAUGUGUCUCCUUCCAUAGAAAUGUAUCGAUGUAGAUAUUUUGAAUGACUCCUCCCUUCUUAUAGAGAUUUUACUGUAAGCUGUGUUUUUUUUUUCACUGUCUUCGAUUGCUAAGAUAUACUCAUAUUGAUACAAUAGUUCUCACCAGUUCCUUUUAAUAGCUGUGUUAUAAUCACUCCCAUGCAUGUGCCACAUUUUUUUCUUCCCUAAGAUCCAUAGAUAGUUUGUUGCAUCCUUUUCUUUCCUCCCUCAUAAGCAGGCUGCAGAAAAGCCUUACACAUGCCUCCUCUGUAAUGUUUCUUUAGAAUAGUGUUUAAAAAGUGGAAUUGGGGGAGUUCCCAUGUGGCUGAGCAGGUUAAGGAUCUGGCAUUAUCAUUGUAGUGGCUCAAGUUGCUGCUUCCAGGAACUUCCACAUGCCGAGAGUGUGCCCUGCAUCAAUAAGUAGAAUUUUGGCUCUCACAAGUUCCACAUUUUUGGUUUUAGACAUUACCAAAGUGUUCUCCAUGAUUUCUGUACCAUUUAAACUUCUAGCCAGAGGCUGUGCGGGGACUGCAGUCCCCACACCAUAAGCAGUUAUUUUAAAUGUUUGCCAAUCUGAUGGAUGAAAAAUUGGAUCAUUUAAAAAAAUUUAUGCAUACUUGUUUGCUAGUGAGAUUUUCAUAUGUGUAUUAGGCAUUUGUAUUUUUUAUUUUCUGAAUAAUCUGUUUAUUUUUGCUCAUUUAAAAAUUAGGUUGUUUGUCUAUCUUAAUGAUUUAUGAGUUUCCUAAUAUAACCUGGAUAUCAAUCUUUGUGUGUGUGUGUGUGUGUGGCAAAUGUUUUCUUCCAGCUGGUCUAUUGCCUUCAAAUUUUGUAGGAGCUUUUGUUAGACAGAAGUUAUCAAUUUUGACAUAAUCAAAUUUAUCUAUUCCUUUGUUCUUUUUAUUUAUACAUCAUGUUUAGGCUUUUCUUACUACUAAGGUUUAAAUACAUUCUGAAUUCCUUUCUA